rnacentral:misc_RNA from 1 species
AGAGAUACAAGAAAUUAAGGGGAAGGAAGAGACAGAAUGAAGUUUUUCUCUCCAUCAGUAGCAGCAAUGGUGCUGUUGAUUCUUCUGAGCACAAGCCAUUGCAGAGCUAGUGUUCAAAGGAUGACGGAUGGCGAACACUUCUCCAUAGGGGAUACCAACAUGGAGUUCGAGUUCAUGAUGGACUCCGAGUUUGGUAGAAUACUUGCUGCUGCUGCUCCUCUUGUUGAUCGUAAGCCUUUAAGGAAUAAACCAGUUUUUCCUUGUGGCAAAGCCCAAAACUACUGCCUCCCAACAAAAGAUGCUAAAAAGUGCCGGGGGAAGUACGACCGGGGUUGCAAACGCUUUUAAUUAGCUGAUUUUACUAGUAUAGCCAUGCGCGGCCGUUUCUUCAACCAUCUUUCUCUCUGUACUAUUCCCUGCAGGUGGAGUAUUGGUCUUUAUAAAUAAAAUUAUCAGUCAUGUAUUCUUCUCAUCUUUUCUAAUUUUCAUCUAGUGAUAUCCCAGCAUCUACUUUGGUUUCUUUAUUUCUCUUGUUUGGAUAUCAAUUUAGAGAGAAAAAAGAACAGAAAGGAAAAAAAAGAAGGAGAAAUUACAUUUCUCCUCGCCAUUGCAUCAACACAAAAAAAGUUGUUUAUAUUGAAAUUACUUCAAAAACCUUUAAUUACUUUAAUAAAAAAAUCGUCACCCAUCUAUUUCAUUUCUGCUCCUCUUUGCUGUAGAAAAUGUCUCCCAUCCUCCAUCAUUCUGCUCUUAUUUUUGCCGCAGAAAAAUGUGUGAAGGAAGGGCAUAGAUCUUGCUGAAGCACAAAUACAGUUGUUGUGCUUGUUAUGACUAUAUAACAACCAACACUGCUGCUUUUCUUUUUUCACCUAAUGCUAUUUUUUCAAAUGAUACUGCAGCAAGGGUGCUUUUUAGUGAUAUUGCAUUGCCAUUGGGAGGCCAAUUGCUUUAAAUUGCAUAUGUUGAUGUGUGGAAACAUUGCAAAUAUUGCUGUAGUCUAUGCCUUUGGGAAGUGCUUGAAGCUUCAUACUACUCCAGAUUGCCAUAUUAUUUGUAUCCUAAAAUGUAAAUAUUGAUUCACAUUG